rnacentral:rRNA from 1 species
GUGGCGAACGGGUGAGUAACACGUGGGCAAUCUGCCCUGCACUCUGGGACAAGCCCUGGAAACGGGGUCUAAUACCGGAUACUGACCCUCGCAGGCAUCUGCGAGGUUCGAAAGCUCCGGCGGUGCAGGAUGAGCCCGCGGCCUAUCAGCUAGUUGGUGAGGUAAUGGCUCACCAAGGCGACGACGGGUAGCCGGCCUGAGAGGGCGACCGGCCACACUGGGACUGAGACACGGCCCAGACUCCUACGGGAGGCAGCAGUGGGGAAUAUUGCACAAUGGGCGAAAGCCUGAUGCAGCGACGCCGCGUGAGGGAUGACGGCCUUCGGGUUGUAAACCUCUUUCAGCAGGGAAGAAGCGAAAGUGACGGUACCUGCAGAAGAAGCGCCGGCUAACUACGUGCCAGCAGCCGCGGUAAUACGUAGGGCGCAAGCGUUGUCCGGAAUUAUUGGGGCGUAAAGAGCUCGUAGGCGGCUUGUCACGUCGGUUGUGAAAGCCCGGGGCUUAAACCCCGGGUCUGCAGUCGAUACGGGCAGGCUAGAGUUCGGUAGGGGAGAUCGGAAUUCCUGGUGUAGCGGUGAAAUGCGCAGAUAUCAGGAGGAACACCGGUGGCGAAGGCGGAUCUCUGGGCCCGAUACUGACGCUGAGGAGCGAA